UGGCUGAGGUAUUAGAUAAUCCUGCAAGAAUUUUGUUACCGAAACUGGAUCCGAUAAAAAAUCCAGGAACAAAAUGGUUUGGUGUUGAUGUUGAGAUAACCACCAAUUUAUCAAAAUUCAUCAAACAGAAUUUUAAAGGUGCUUAUCUUAAUUGGAGUACGAUCCCACAACCUACCAAAGAUUCGUGGUGGUUAAGUUUUGUGCAACAAUGGCGUUGGGAUCCUGAGCAUGACGCACUUGUUCGGCGCAAGUGGAAGGAGGCUGUAAUUCGUCUAGUGAAAGCCAGAGUUCACAAACUCAAACAAAAAUGGCUU